UUUUUAGUUUAAAUAUGUCCCAUGCAGUAUUUGUGCAUACUUAUACUGUAA
rnacentral:pre_miRNA from 1 species